GAUUGUAGGUAAAAAAAAUGCUGGUUAUUUUUUCAUUUUAUGGACUGGAAAGCACGUGAACGUAGAUCCCCCUGUACACGUCCAUGGGCAAGCACGCGACAAUCAGUAAGAAAGGUGCAUGCCGAUCUUACUGUUCUUACAUAACGGGGGUCUGGAAAUCAGUUCUUCUGGCUUCUCUCAAUGCCAUUUUAACAGUGUUGUAUAGUCACUUCGUUCAGCAUCUUCUUUGGAAGAUGCAACAUGAGAACCGUCACAGUGAGGGCGUGAGGUACAUCAGCUGCAGCCAGUCCCACCGCAGUGACUUGCAAAAGCUAACCCCUUGACCAUAAUGCUGACGGUUGAAGCAGUGCAAUGGAGAAGGAAUGAACAGAUUGAAGCAGUGCAAUGGAGAAGAAAUGAAGAGAUACUUUUACCUGCAAAUACCCAACUUCAAUGAAGUCAGGUAUUCAGGGCAAGCUAAAGGUCAGAAAAAGAGUGUUGGUACAGAUUUCUUCUCUCUCUCUUGGGGUGGAGCCUCUGUACAGCUGUCACCCACAUAAGAUGCCAGUUCUGACUUGGUGUUGCCUUCAAUAUCCCGGCAAAGUCAGGGCAACGAAUUGAAAGAUCAGUGUGCUGUCACUUUGAUAGGUCUUUCUAAAAACUGUUUUCUGUCCCAUCGGCAGAGGGUCUUUGAGGCCUUGUGGGUUGCCCACUGGAGGAGGAAUUGUCCAGAGCGUAAGUGCUUUAUGGAGGAAAAACCUGCAGAAUUAUUUUUAAAACCUUUGGCUAUUAUGAAAGGGAAAAAGGAUGAGCUGGGCCAGCUCUGGAUCCUAUUCAUUGCAACAAGAGAACAGGACCUGUCCCCCUUGACUGUCUUCCUUACUGUCUGAAGACAACUCAUCCUCACAUAAGCGUCUCCCCAGCUCCAUCUACUUUUGUAGCCAUAUUUAAUUAAAGGCUAGUUCAUUCCUUCUACUCCUUGCUCACCAUGAAGUCCAACAAGGUGAAUUGACCAAGCGAUACCACUUAAGGCAUUUCCAGCAGGAUCACACCAUGGUUCAGGAGUAUGGCCUUAAGAGAGGAAAACCAGAUUGACCCCAGCCGGUCUUCUAGCAAAACUAGGGCAAUGCAUGACCAGCAACCUAUCAGGGAGCUCAACCUCCAUGAUCUCAUCCUCCCCCGACACGGGUCGCACUGCAUACCAAACGCAGGGGACCUAAGGAGGCCAGAGAGAAAACAGAUACAUCAAAAGAAAGGGAUGAUGCAAAAAAAAAAAAAAAAAGCCAGGAGAAAAACGAGUGUAGAUAUAAGAUAAGGUAAAAGUGUAGGGUGACAGGGUUUGUUUGAAAAGGAUAUAGGUUAAAGGUCUGGUGAGAGAGA